rnacentral:rRNA from 1 species
AACGAACGCUGGCGGCAGGCCUAACACAUGCAAGUCGAACGCUCGUAGCAAUACGAGAGUGGCAGACGGGUGAGUAACACGUGGGAACCUUCCCUAUGGUUCGGAAUAGCUCAGGGAAACUUGAGGUAAUACCGGAUAAGCCCUUCGGGGGAAAGAUUUAUCGCCAUUGGAUGGGCCCGCGUCGGAUUAGCUAGUUGGUGAGGUAACGGCUCACCAAGGCAACGAUCCGUAGCUGGUCCGAGAGGAUGAUCAGCCACACUGGGACUGAGACACGGCCCAGACUCCUACGGGAGGCAGCAGUGGGGAAUAUUGGACAAUGGGCGCAAGCCUGAUCCAGCCAUGCCGCGUGAGUGACGAAGGUCUUCGGAUUGUAAAACUUCUUUUGGCGGGGACGAUAAUGACGGUACCCGCAGAAUAAGCCCC